GCGAAGGAGUAUUGGAUUGGUUUCUCAUAUGACCCUCAACUAAUAGUUAUUAUCUCAGAAAGUCGUCUUUGUCUUGAUCCGAAUUUACUUAAAUAAAAAAAAAUACUUUAUUGAAAUAAUAACUAGUAGUUGAGUGAUUAUCUGAGAAAUCAACUUUUUAAGUAUCGAAGUAUGGCUCGUUGAUUGUUUUUAUUGAGACAAAAGUGACUAACAUUUCCUUAUGCUUGUUCCACGUGGUGAAUUCAUGAAUUUUAAAUCAUGGGAAUUCAAUUCCCUUCAAUCCAACUUUUAAUUUAACUAGUACACCCAUUAUCAUAUCUGGAGAUUGAGUGCCCGCUCAAUCUUUCUAUGUUUUUUUUUAAUUUUUUUUAAAGUUUGUAUAAUAUAUAUGUUAGGGAUAACCUAUGAAAGGUCUUGUAUAUACAUAUUCAACAGGGAACAAACAACAUUUGUAUAUGCUUGGAAAUGGUAUUUUGAGGUCUGAUGGCCACAUUUGGGCCAUGUAGAGGAAAAGUGUCUCAAUUCUUCAUGGACAAGGUCAAGCUUGAAACAGACAGACACAUCCUUUUAGCAAAGGCUGAUAUGGCC